GUACCCCCGGGAUUUAAGCAUAUUAGUAAGCAGAGGAACCCCAUCAAACUUGGAUUUUGUAAGUAGUUGCGAAUGAACACAAAUUUGAUCACUUUGGCAAUCUGUACACAUUGCUGUGUAACAAUUUGUAUACGUUGGCACAGUGCUAUCAAAGCUGCAUGCAAGUGUUUUUUGAAAGGAUACAACAUGGGAUGUGAUAUUCAUGUGUGUGUGCCUGCUUUGUCCACAGCCUGUGCUGUAUGAAUCACAUUUCUUGCAACUGAAAUGCUAAUGGCAUGGUAAAGUUCAUGUGACAUGACACAAGCUUGAGAUUCAUGAUGUGCAAGUACCAUGAGGGAAAUGUGAAAAGGACUUUGGAAAGAGAAUUAAAUAAAGCCUGCAUUUGCUGACAAUGAAAGCAAGUGUGGAUGUUCAUGUAAUUGUUACUGCAUCAAUCAAUGUUCAUCUUGGUUACUGCAUGCUUUAUAUUACAGCUCAGAACAUGAAGUGUGUGUAACAGCUCUGCUUUGAUUUUUCCCACAUGGGAUCAGUUGAAACAUUGUGAGAGCACUCUUCAGUUUCCUUAUGUACCCACCAGCUUUGUCCACUCGCGUGUUGGCACACAUGUAAUGAUGAUGUGUUUAUGCAAGAUACUUCUGUGCUCAACAACAUGUUGUGUCAAUCCUCACUUGACCCAACGAGAAGAGAGGAACAAGGACUA
rnacentral:rRNA from 1 species